rnacentral:tRNA from 1 species
ACUGUUUUAGCAAAAUUGAUGCCUUAAAUUUAGGAUUUAAUAAUGUAAUAUUUAUUACAAAUAGUA